CAGCGACGCCGCGUGAGGGAUGACGGCCUUCGGGUUGUAAACCUCUUUCAGUAGGGAAGAAGCGAAAGUGACGGUACCUGCAGAAGAAGCACCGGCUAACUACGUGCCAGCAGCCGCGGUAAUACGUAGGGUGCGAGCGUUAUCCGGAAUUAUUGGGCGUAAAGAGCUCGUAGGCGGUUUGUCGCGUCUGUCGUGAAAGUCCGGGGCUUAACCCCGGAUCUGCGGUGGGUACGGGCAGACUAGAGUGCAGUAGGGGAGACUGGAAUUCCUGGUGUAGCGGUGGAAUGCGCAGAUAUCAGGAGGAACACCGAUGGCGAAGGCAGGUCUCUGGGCUGUAACUGACGCUGAGGAGCGAAAGCAUGGGGAGCGAACAGGAUUAGAUACCCUGGUAGUCCAUGCCGUAAACGUUGGGCACUAGGUGUGGGGAACAUUCCACGUUUUCCGCGCCGCAGCUAACGCAUUAAGUGCCCCGCCUGGGGAGUACGGCCGCAAGGCUAAAACUCAAAGGAAUUGACGGGGGCCCGCACAAGCGGCGGAGCAUGCGGAUUAAUUCGAUGCAACGCGAAGAACCUUACCAAGGCUUGACAUGUUCUCGAUCGCCGUAGAGAUACGGUUUCCCCUUUGGGGCGGGUUCACAGGUGGUGCAUGGUUGUCGUCAGCUCGUGUCGUGAGAUGUUGGGUUAAGUCCCGCAACGAGCGCAACCCUCGUUCCAUGUUGCCAGCACUUCGGGUGGGGACUCAUGGGAGACUGCCGGGGUCAACUCGGAGGAAGGUGGGGACGACGUCAAAUCAUCAUGCCCCUUAU
rnacentral:rRNA from 1 species